rnacentral:tRNA from 1 species
UGGGCCGAGCUGGAUUUGAACCAGCGUAGACAUAUCCGUCCAACGAAUUUACAGUCCGUCCCCCAUUAACCGCUCGGGCAUCGGACCC